UAGCUAGUUGGUGAGGUAAAGGCUUACCAAGGCGACGAUCUGUAGCGGGUCUGAGAGGAUGAUCCGCCACACUGGAACUGAGACACGGUCCAGACUCCUACGGGAGGCAGCAGUGGGGAAUUUUGGACAAUGGGGGCAACCCUGAUCCAGCCAUGCCGCGUGAGUGAAGAAGGCCUUCGGGUUGUAAAGCUCUUUCGGCCGGGAAGAAAUCGCAUGGGCCAAUACCCUGUGUGGAUGACGGUACCGGAAUAAGAAGCACCGGCUAACUACGUGCCAGCAGCCGCGGUAAUACGUAGGGUGCGAGCGUUAAUCGGAAUUACUGGGCGUAAAGCGUGCGCAGGCGGUUUUGUAAGACAGGCGUGAAAUCCCCGGGCUUAACCUGGGAACUGCGUUUGUGGCUGCAAGGCUAGAGUACGGCAGAGGGGGGUGGAAUUCCACGUGUAGCAGUGAAAUGCGUAGAGAUGUGGAGGAACACCAAUGGCGAAGGCAGCCCCCUGGGUCGAUACUGACGCUCAUGCACGAAAGCGUGGGUAGCAAACAGGAUUAGAUACCCUGGUAGUCCACGCCCUAAACUAUGUCAACUAGGUGUUGGGUGGGUAAAACCAUUUAGUACCGUAGCUAACGCGUGAAGUUGACCGCCUGGGGAGUACGGCCGCAAGGUUAAAACUCAAAGGAAUUGACGGGGACCCGCACAAGCGGUGGAUGAUGUGGAUUAAUUCGAUGCAACGCGAAAAACCUUACCUACCCUUGACAUGCCAGGAACUUGCCAGAGAUGGCUUGGUGCCCGAAAGGGAGCCUGGACACAGGUGCUGCAUGGCUGUCGUCAGCUCGUGUCGUGAGAUGUUGGGUUAAGUCCCGCAACGAGCGCAACCCUUGUCGUUAAUUGCCAUCAUUUAGUUGGGCACUUUAACGAGACUGCCGGUGACAAACCGGAGGAAGGUGGGGAUGACGUCAAGUCCUCAUGGCCCUUAUGGGUAGGGCUUCACACGUCAUACAAUGGUCGGUACAAAGGGUUGCCAAGCCGCGAGGCGGAGCCAAUCCCAGAAAGCCGAUCGUAGUCCGGAUUGCAGGCUGCAACUCGCCUGCAUGAAGUCGGAAUCGCUAGUAAUCGUGGAUCAGCAUGUCACGGUGAAUACGUUCCCGGGUCUUGUACACACCGCCCGUCACACCAUGGGAGCGGGUUCCGCCAGAAGUAGGUAGCCUAACCGCAAGGGGGGCGCUUACCACGGCGGGGUUCGUGACUGGGGUGAAGUCGAAACAAGGUAGCCGUAGAGGAACCUGCGGCUG
rnacentral:rRNA from 1 species